rnacentral:rRNA from 1 species
GCUCAACCGGGGAGGGUCAUUGGAAACUGGGGAACUUGAGUGCAGAAGAGGAGAGUGGAAUUCCACGUGUAGCGGUGAAAUGCGUAGAGAUGUGGAGGAACACCAGUGGCGAAGGCGACUCUCUGGUCUGUAACUGACGCUGAGGAGCGAAAGCGUGGGGAGCGAACAGGAUUAGAUACCCUGGUAGUCCACGCCGUAAACGAUGAGUGCUAAGUGUUAGGGGGUUUCCGCCCCUUAGUGCUGCAGCUAACGCAUUAAGCACUCCGCCUGGGGAGUACGGUCGCAAGACUGAAACUCAAAGGAAUUGACGGGGGCCCGCACAAGCGGUGGAGCAUGUGGUUUAAUUCGAAGCAACGCGAAGAACCUUACCAGGUCUUGACAUCCUCUGACAAUCCUAGAGAUAGGACGUCCCCUUCGGGGGCAGAGUGACAGGUGGUGCAUGGUUGUCGUCAGCUCGUGUCGUGAGAUGUUGGGUUAAGUCCCGCAACGAGCGCAACCCUUGAUCUUAGUUGCCAGCAUUCAGUUGGGCACUCUAAGGUGACUGCCGGUGACAAACCGGAGGAAGGUGGGGAUGACGUCAAAUCAUCAUGCCCCUUAUGACCUGGGCUACACACGUGCUACAAUGGACAGAACAAAG